rnacentral:lncRNA from 1 species
GCCACACGCCAGGCGCCACGCGCCGCCCUCGCUCUUUAUCCACUGAGCAGCUUAUCCACUUUAGGUCGGAAAGGAAAGGAAAGAAAAGCAGGAAAAAAAAAAAAAGUCAGGGGAACAUUUUUGUCGGCUGCGCGACUCGACUACUUUUGUCUCCUGCGGGCCACUGUUGAGCCUUCACGAGACGUCACUGUCUUCGGUCGCGGGGCAUCGUGGGUAGGAGGGAGAUUUGCUCUCACUGCUCCCAAAAAUGGCGGACGCAUUCGGAGAUGAGCUGUUCAGCGUGUUCGAGGGCGACUCGACCACUGCGGCGGGAACCAAAAAAGACAAGGAAAAGGACAAGGGGAAAUGGAAGGGGCCUCCAGGGUCUGCAGACAAGGCAGGAAACGUUUUGAUGGUAAAUUACAAUCAGAAUCAACUAAUAAUGGAAAAAAUAAGAGAGAUGUAGAU